GACGAACGCUGGCGGCGUGCCUAAUACAUGCAAGUAGAACGCACAGUUUAUACCGUAGCUUGCUACACCAUAAACUGUGAGUUGCGAACGGGUGAGUAACGCGUAGGUAACCUGCCUGGUAGCGGGGGAUAACUAUUGGAAACGAUAGCUAAUACCGCAUAAUAUUGAUUAUUGCAUGAUAAUUGAUUGAAAGAUGCUAUUGCAUCACUACCAGAUGGACCUGCGUUGUAUUAGCUAGUAGGUGAGGUAACGGCUCACCUAGGCGACGAUACAUAGCCGACCGGAGAGGGUGAUCGGCCACACUGGGACUGAGACACGGCCCAGACUCCUACGGGAGGCAGCAGUAGGGAAUCUUCGGCAAUGGACGAAAGUCUGACCGAGCAACGCCGCGUGAGUGAAGAAGGGUUUCGGAUCGUAAAGCUCUGUUGUAAGAGAAGAACGGGUGUGAGAGUGGAAAGUUCACACUGUGACGGUAUCUUACCAGAAAGGGACGGCUAACUACGUG
rnacentral:rRNA from 1 species